rnacentral:rRNA from 1 species
UCGAGAAUUUUUCACAAUGGGGGAAACCCUGAUGGAGCGACGCCGCGUGGGGGAUGAAUGGCUUCGGCCCGUAAACCCCUGUCAUUUGCGAACAAAUUGGUUCAAUUAACACCUGAACCAUUGAUAGUAGCGGAAGAGGAAGGGACGGCUAACUCUGUGCCAGCAGCCGCGGUAAUACAGAGGUCCCAAGCGUUGUUCGGAUUCACUGGGCGUAAAGGGUGCGUAGGCGGUCGGGUAAGUCUGAUGUGAAAUCUCACAGCUUAACUGUGAAACUGCAUUGGAUACUAUUCGGCUUGAGAGUUGGAGGGGGGACUGGAAUUCUUGGUGUAGCAGUGAAAUGCGUAGAUAUCAAGAGGAACACCAGUGGCGAAGGCGAGUCCCUGGACAACUUCUGACGCUGAGGCACGAAAGCUAGGGGAGCAAACA